rnacentral:rRNA from 1 species
UACGUAGGGUGCGAGCGUUGUCCGGAAUUAUUGGGCGUAAAGGGCUCGUAGGCGGUUUGUCGCGUCGGGAGUGAAAACCAGGUGCUUAACACCUGGCUUGCUUUCGAUACGGGCAGACUAGAGGUAUUCAGGGGAGAACGGAAUUCCUGGUGUAGCGGUGAAAUGCGCAGAUAUCAGGAAGAACACCGAUGGCGAAGGCAGCUCUCUGGGACGGUACUGACGCUGAGACGCGAAAGCGUGGGGAGCGAACAGG